GCCUUCGAUGAAGUGCUUACUGCAUUUUUUCUUACACAUGUGUUUUUCUUUUUUUGAAAACUUUGCUUUGGUAGGCCUUCUAUAUGGGGCCUGCCAGAGAUUAAACUCAACCAAAUUUUAUUUAAUGUCAACCGAUUAUUUAAUAGUCAAAACUUUCAACAACGGAUCUCUUGGUUCUCGCAUCGAUGAAGAACGCAGCGAAAUGCGAUAAGUAAUAUGAAUUGCAGAUAUUCGUGAAUCAUCGAAUCUUUGAACGCACAUUGCGCCCUUUGGUAUUCCAAAGGGCAUGCCUGUUUGAGCGUCAUUUCUCCCUCAAACCCUCGGGUUUGGUGUUGAGCGAUACGCUGGGUUUGCUUGAAAGAAAGGCGGAGUAUAAACUAAUGGAUAGGUUUUUUCCACUCAUUGGUACAAACUCCAAAACUUCUUCCAAAUUCGACCUCAAAUCAGGUAGGACUACCCGCUGAACUUAAGCAUAUCAAAGCCGGGAGGAA
rnacentral:rRNA from 1 species